AUGUAUUGUAGCCAUGCACAUUCUCCUCACAGUCCCACCCAGACAGGGCUUAGUUCUACCCGGGUUCAAUCAGGGCCUGCACAGCCUCAGCAAAGCCCUCCACCACACAGUCCUGUGCAGGACUACAUUUCACAGGCACAGCUCGACCGACCAUGUAGUACUAACAUCAUCACACAGCCUCAGCACAGUCCUACACCACGUAGUCCUGCACAAGUUGGCACAUCACACCCACAGAGUCCCACACAGGAUUCUAAACCUACACUGGACCAGGGGAGCCCUGGAUCAAGCAGCCCUGCUCAGCUGCAAUGUUGGGCUGCACAGGACAUUUCUACACUGGACCAGGACUACUGUAGGUCCACUCAGACAGCAAGAAGACACGCCUCACUGACGCCUAUUUCAGCUCCAUGUAGCCCAUCACCGGCCCCACCCAAAGCCACACAGUGUAGUCUGUCACAACCUACAAGCCCAGUAAAGGCCCACUCCUUACAGCCUGUUAGGCCUUCACAGCUUAGCCUUGUUCCUUCUCAACUUGCUACACAGUCAGAAGUCACAAAGGAAUGCACCCAAACCCCAGAGCUAAAGUCCUUGGAGCAGCUGAGCCCUAACCUUGAUGGCCAAACACUGGAAAGUAGCCCCACCGCUAUCCUGUCCACAAUGCCGCCUGAUAGCCAUGGCACAGAUGGAAACCAGCUUGGUCCAGUUAAGAGUAGCACAGUUGGCCCAGACCAUUCAAGCCCCCUUCACGUCCCAGCAAUGCCCACACCAGAAAGCCUUGUUCACGUUAGCUCUUCAGUGGAACACAGUAGCCUAAUCUGCUCACCUUGUGCUGAUAGAACAGAAGAACACAUUCAUCAGAGUCCUUCUUGUGACAGCCCAUCACGCUGCGCAGAAGCUAAUGAAGGUAAAGCCAGUCCCGUACAUAUCCAAAACAGCUUGGCUAGUUCUAGUCCCAAACAUGCCAGUCAAAUGCCUGCUAGCCCUGCCAGCUCUCCUCUGGCCUGUGCCAGCCCUGUGGCAGUGGAGACUAGCCCUGUCCAUGUCAGCUACACUGUUAAACCCUCAAUGCAACCGGCUAGCCCCAUCCACCCCAUCACAUGUCAAGAUGAGGAGAUGGAGGUAUCUGUCGACCAUUUGCUUCAGUUAGAAACUAGUCCCAGUCAUCCCAACUCCACUGUGGGCAGUCCAGUUCAUACUAGCCCAACUCAUGCUAGCCCAGUCCACACAGAAACUAACAGCGAGUACAGUCUGAUGGGCUCCAUGCAUGCUCAGGAGAGAGCUAGUCCCUCUGUUUGUAGUUUUGCAAAGCUCACACAGACGAGCCAAAGUCCCACACAUCCUGGCCAGUCCAGUCCCUCACAUGUCCAAACUACAAAUAGUCCUUCACAGGCUUCUACAGUACAGACAAGCCCCCUGCCACCUAGCUUUAGUCCUUCACACUGUAGGCCGACUGAUACUAGCUCAGCUGGUAGCUCUGUCAGCCACAGUCUGAGCCACAGUGGCCAGACAAGUUCUUACCCUGCUAGCGAAACUGAUGUUAGCGUCAUCCACAGUCCACCUAGGUCUAGUCCUGCUGGUCAAGCUAGUCCUGUUCACAUACAAAGCACCUCUAGUAGUGCCCACUCAGGCCCAGCCCAAAGACAGACUCCCUUAUUAGCUAACACGACACACAGCAGCCCUGCACAUGCUACUGUCGCUUGUGUGAGCCCACCUCACAGUCCAGCUCAGGCCAGUGAAACAUAUCAUAGUCCCCAGUAUAGCCCAGCUCCUGACACUGGAACCAGUUCUGGCCCUGCUGUGGCUAGUGCACAUCUUGAUAUGGUUGCCAGUUCAAUAAUUCAGAGCUCUGUUCUUCCUGUUGUGGUUCAGCUUCUUUCUACAGACAGCAUUAGGCAGACGAGCCCAACAUCUGCCACUUCCCUACCAGAUGACUUAUCUGCUGUUAGCCCCAACCAGGCCACUCUGAGCCAGGUUAGCCGGUCCCCAGCUGGUCCUCCUCAUACCCCCGACAGGUCUGUUGAGAACCAACAAAGCCCUGCCCCGGGAAGCCCUCUCUGUCACAGCUCAGCUGCCCCUGUUGAUGCUACUUCCACUCAGGCUAGUCCGAGCCAUGCUAGUCCCACUCAGGAUAACACUGUGAUGCCUAGCACUAGUGAAACACCCGCUAGUCCUCCACCCUCUGCCCCCUCACAGGUUAGCCCUCCUCAUGCUCCACAACCUCACGCUAGCUCUGGGCACAGUAACAUGGUUGCUAGUCUUGUUUGUGGCCCCUUGCAAUCAGGUGAUGACCCUAGUCCUGUCCCUACCAGCCCUGUGCGGCCAGAGUCUCCUUCUAGCCCUGAUCCUGCCCGUCAUGUGCAGCCAGAGGCUAGUUCCAGUCCUGGUCUUGGUAGCCCAAUUAAGUGCAAGGCUAGCCCUGGACCCCAUUUUGUUAGCUCUGUUCUUGCCACCCUUGGACAGUCUGAAGAAAGCCCAAGUCCUGGUCCAACUAGCCGUGUGCAGCCUGGUCCUGAUCCUGGUAGCCUCUCUGUUUCCAGCCCCCAGCAGUCUGCAGCCACAGUGGACAUAGCCGAGGAGCAGGAGGAGCAGGAGGAGACGGUGCAGCCGAGGAGGACUGAAGAAGAGGGUGAGAUGGAGAGAGAACCUCUGCAGCAGAAGGAGGAAGAGGAGCAGCCUCAACAGACAACAAAGAAGAGGCCAGGAGAGGAGGAGCCUGUUGAGAGUAAAGAAAAGGAGGAGGAGGAGGAGGAGGAUCAGCAAAACAGCUCCACUGCAGGAGUCCAGCUGGGAUCUGUCCUGAAUGAAGACUUUCAGAGUCCUCCUCACACUGCUCCUGCCUCCCCACUCCUCCCACAGACAACUCCUCCCUCCCCCCAACCCACCACACCACACUCUGCCUUACCCUGCCAGGAGCCCUCCUACUCCCACUCGUCUUCACCUCCUGCCUCACCACAGUCUCCUCCUCCUAGAGCUGGCUCUCUAGAAGUCUCCCCCUCCUCCCCUCACAGGAUUGCCUUACUCCCCUCUUGCUCUACCCACCCCCUGUCUCCCCCCUCCUCCCCUCUGGAGGACCUCCCCCAAGAGGAGGAACUAACCAAUCAACGAGAAGCUGAGACGGGGAAGAGGGCCGAGGCGGUGCUAGAGGACGACAUGCUUUCCUGUCAUGUGACAUUGGGGGAUGAUGACAGCCAAUCACAGAGCCCGUUUGAACCUGUUGCUGUGGCAACAGAAUCCACCAAAGAAGAGCACCAAUCGCACACUGAGCCUUCAGAAAGGGGGGAGGAGGAGGAGGAGGAGGAGGAGUCGGCAGCUAAUAUGGCAGCUGAUUGUGAAGUGGUAGCCAGGCAACAGCCAAUGAGGAAGGAGCAGGAUGCACAGGAGGAGGAGCAGGAGGAGGUGGUGACUGGUAGGAUGGAUGAAGAGGAGGAGGAGGAGGAGGAGGAGGUGGAGGAGGCGAGGGAAGGCACUGAGCCUGAGGACCAAUCAGAUGUGGAGGAGGAGGACCCAAUGAGUCCCGUGCUGGAACUGGACCACUCUUUAGACAUGGAGGUGAUGGAGCUGAUGACCUCCUCGUCUCCUCCCCCGUCCCUCCUGCACCUCUCCACCCCCAGCCCGCCUCCCUUCUCCCGCCGAGGAAAGGGUCGGACUCUCAGGCCUCCUCCUUGCUCCUCAAGGCCAUCAGAUGACCUCUCCAUCCGUCUGAGGCAGUCUCCCUUCUCCACGGAGGCCUCCCCUGAGACCUCCCCCGCCAGAGCUCCCAUCACCCCACCUCCACUCUCCCCGCUCUCACCUCCUCUCCAGUGCGCCCCCCCUGCAAGAGAAUCUCCAACUCUCUCCAAGCCCCAGGCACCUCCCACCACUGUACUCCCCCUCACCCCUAAAAUCGGUAUGGGGAAACCGGCCAUCUCUAAGAGGAAGUUCUCCCCGGGCAGAGCCAGGGUCAAACAGGGUUCGUGGUGGAGUAAUCGCAGGGCGGUGAGCCCCCCCUCAUCCUCCCAGGAUUCCAUGGGUGAGGGAGGUUGGGACAGCCCUAAGCACCGUCCAGCAGACUCCCCCAUCUGGAGCAUGAGAGUGGUAAAGAACCAACUCUGUGUGUGUGUUACUGUGUGUCUGUGUGUGUUACUGUGUGUCUGUGUGUUACUGUGUGUCUGUGUGUUACUGUGUGUCUGUGUGUGUUACUGUGUGUCUGUGUGUGUUACUGUGUGUCUGUGUGUUACUGUGUGUCUGUGUGUUACUGUGUGUCUGUGUGUGUUACUGUGUGUCUGUGUGUUACUGUGUGUGUGUGUGUUACUGUGUGUCUGUGUGUUACUGUGUGUGUGUGUGUGUGAGUGUCUGUGUGUGUUACUGUGUGUCUGUGUGUUACUGUGUGUCUGUGUGUUACUGUGUGUGCUGUGUGUUACUGUGUGUCUGUCUGUGUGUUACUGUGUGUCUGUCUGUGUGUUACUGUGUGUCUGUGUGUGUUACUGUGUGUCUGUGUGUUACUGUGUGUCUGUGUGUUACUGUGUGUCUGUGUGUGUUACUGUGUGUCUGUGUGUUACUGUGUGUCUGUGUGUUACUGUGUGUCUGUGUGUUACUGUCUGUGUGUUACCUGUGUGUUUCUGUGUCUGUGUGUGUUACUGUGUGUCUGUGUGUUACUGUGUGUCUGUGUGUGUUACUGUGUGUCUGUGUGUUACUGUGUGUCUGUGUGUUUACUGUGUGUCUGUGUGUUACUGUGUGUCUGUGUGUUACUGUGUGUCUGUGUGUUACUGUGUGUCUGUGUGUGUUACUGUGUGUCUGUGUGUUACUGUGUGUCUGUGUGUGUGAGAGAGAGAAAGACGAGGCAGAG
rnacentral:lncRNA from 15 species